rnacentral:rRNA from 1 species
AUAAUGGGUCAGCGACUUAUAUUCUGUAGCAAGGUUAACCGAAUAGGGGAGCCGAAGGGAAACCGAGUCUUAACUGGGCGUUAAGUUGCAGGGUAUAGACCCGAAACCCGGUGAUCUAGCCAUGGGCAGGUUGAAGGUUGGGUAACACUAACUGGAGGACCGAACCGACUAAUGUUGAAAAAUUAGCGGAUGACUUGUGGCUGGGGGUGAAAGGCCAAUCAAACCGGGAGAUAGCUGGUUCUCCCCGAAAGCUAUUUAGGUAGCGCCUCGUGAAUUCAUCUCCGGGGGUAGAGCACUGUUUCGGCAAGGGGGUCAUCCCGACUUACCAACCCGAUGCAAACUGCGAAUACCGGAGAAUGUUAUCACGGGAGACACACGGCGGGUGCUAACGUCCGUCGUGAAGAGGGAAACAACCCAGACCGCCAGCUAAGGUCCCAAAGUCAUGGUUAAGUGGGAAACGAUGUGGGAAGGCCCAGACAGCCAGGAUGUUGGCUUAGAAGCAGCCAUCAUUUAAAGAAAGCGUAAUAGCUCACUGGUCGAGUCGGCCUGCGCGGAAGAUGUAACGGGGCUAAACCAUGCACCGAAGCUGCGGCAGCGACGCUUAUGCGUUGUUGGGUAGGGGAGCGUUCUGUAAGCCUGCGAAGGUGUGCUGUGAGGCAUGCUGGAGGUAUCAGAAGUGCGAAUGCUGACAUAAGUAACGAUAAAGCGGGUGAAAAGCCCGCUCGCCGGAAGACCAAGGGUUCCUGUCCAACGUUAAUCGGGGCAGGGUGAGUCGACCCCUAAGGCGAGGCCGAAAGGCGUAGUCGAUGGGAAACAGGUUAAUAUUCCUGUACUUGGUGUUACUGCGAAGGGGGGACGGAGAAGGCUAUGUUGGCCGGGCGACGGUUGUCCCGGUUUAAGCGUGUAGGCUGGUUUUCCAGGCAAAUCCGGAAAAUCAAGGCUGAGGCGUGAUGACGAGGCACUACGGUGCUGAAGCAACAAAUGCCCUGCUUCCAGGAAAAGCCUCUAAGCAUCAGGUAACAUCAAAUCGUACCCCAAACCGACACAGGUGGUCAGGUAGAGAAUACCAAGGCGCUUGAGAGAACUCGGGUGAAGGAACUAGGCAAAAUGGUGCCGUAAC